GCUAAAACCUAAGCCCCCAAAAUUCAAAUGAAAUAACUUUAAAAAUAAAAUUAAAUAAAACAUUCUAUUAACUUAGUAAAGGUGAUUAAAAAGUAUCAAGGAGCCAUAACAUAAGUACCGCAAGGGAAAACUGAAAUAAAAAUGAAAUAAAUUUUAAGCCAAAAAAAGUAGAGAUAAAUCCUCGUACCUUUUGCAUCAUGGUCUGACCAGUAAAAUCAAGCAAAAUGAACUUUAAGUUUGACCCCCCGAAAUUAAGCGAGCUACUUAAAAACAGCCUUAAGGGCCAACCCGUCCCUGUUGCAAUAGGGUGGGAAGAUUUCUAAGUAGAGGUGAUAAACCUAUCGAGCUUAAAGAUAGCUGGUUAUUCAAGAAAUGGAUAUAAGUCCAACUUAAAAUUUUUAUAAAACCUCUAAAUGUACUAAUAAAUUUUAAUUUUAUUCAAAUAAGGUACAGCCUAUUUGAAACAGGAUACAACCUAUAACAGAGGGUAAUACCACAACAAAGUGAUUAAGUUGACCUAAAAGCAGCCAUCUUUUAAAAAGCGUUAAAGCUUCAUCACACUAAAAAUAUCAAUACCAACCUUAACCAAAAACCCCUUAUUAAUAUUGAAUGACUCCAUAACUAUAUGGAAAACUCUAUGUCUGAACUAGUAACAAGAAUAACUUCUCCAAUUAACGUAAGCAUAAGCCAGAAUGAACCACACACCGGCACUUAUCGCCAAUAAGUCUAAAGUAAUAACUUAACAAGAAAAUUUUACUAAUCAAAGCGUUAACCUUACACUAGAACGUUCCCGGAAAGAUUAAAAAAAGUGGAAGGAACUCGGCAAAUAUUAACCCCGCCUGUUUACCAAAAACAUCGCCUUCUGAUACACUAUAAAAGGUCCAGCCUGCCCAGUGAUAAACUUAAACGGCCGCGGUAUCUUGACCGUGCAAAGGUAGCAUAAUCACUUGUCCCUUAAAUAGGGACUAGUAUGAAUGGCAUCACGAGGGUUAUACUGUCUCCCCCUUUUAAUCAGUGAAACUAAUCUCCCCGUGAAGAAGCGGGGAUAAACAUAUAAGACGAGAAGACCCCAUGGAGCUUAAAACAAAUAAUACUUGCACCAUUUUAUACCACCUAAAUAUAGCAAACUACUUAUUAGUUUUUGGUUGGGGUAACCAUGGAGUAAAACCAAAUCUCCACGAAGAAAGAAAAACCUAUUUCUAAUCAAAGAGCCACCCCUCACAGAAUCAACACAUUGACUAAACGACCCAAUAUAAUUGAACAACGAACCAAGUUACCCUGGGGAUAACAGCGCAAUCCAUUUCAAGAGCCCAUAUCGACAAAUGGGUUUACGACCUCGAUGUUGGAUCAGGGUACCCCAGUGGUGCAGCCACUACUAAAGGUUCGUUUGUUCAACGAUUAAAACCCUACGCGAUCUGAGUUCAGACCGGAGCAAUCCAGGUCGGUUUCUAUCUAUAAAAGGCUUUCCAUAGUACGAAAGGACCUGGAAAGCAUGACCUAUAUAACAACAAGCCAUCACUUCUAAUUAAUGAUUUUUAACUUAAUUAACAUCAAUCUAAUACCUUUUUCAAGAAAAGA
rnacentral:rRNA from 1 species